AUUGAACGCUGGCGGCAUGCCUUACACAUGCAAGUCGAACGGCAGCACGGGUGCUUGCACCUGGUGGCGAGCGGCGAACGGGUGAGUAAUACAUCGGAAUGUACCUUGUAGUGGGGGAUAGCUCGGCGAAAGCCGGAUUAAUACCGCAUACGCUCUGAGGAGGAAAGCGGGGGACCUUCGGGCCUCGCGCUACAAGAGCAGCCGAUGUCAGAUUAGCUAGUUGGUGGGGUAAAAGCUCACCAAGGCGACGAUCUGUAGCUGGUCUGAGAGGACGACCAGCCACACUGGGACUGAGACACGGCCCAGACUCCUACGGGAGGCAGCAGUGGGGAAUUUUGGACAAUGGGCGAAAGCCUGAUCCAGCAAUGCCGCGUGUGUGAAGAAGGCCUUCGGGUUGUAAAGCACUUUUGUCCGGAAAGAAAUCCUUUGGGUUAAUACCUCGGGGGGAUGACGGUACCGGAAGAAUAAGCACCGGCUAACUACGUGCCAGCAGCCGCGGUAAUACGUAGGGUGCAAGCGUUAAUCGGAAUUACUGGGCGUAAAGCGUGCGCAGGCGGUUUUGUAAGACGGAUGUGAAAUCCCCGGGCUUAACCUGGGAACUGCAUUCGUGACUGCAAGGCUAGAGUAUGGCAGAGGGGGGUAGAAUUCCACGUGUAGCAGUGAAAUGCGUAGAGAUGUGGAGGAAUACCGAUGGCGAAGGCAGCCCCCUGGGCCAAUACUGACGCUCAUGCACGAAAGCGUGGGGGAGCAAACAGG
rnacentral:rRNA from 1 species